rnacentral:rRNA from 1 species
AACGAACGCUGGCGGCAUGCCUAACACAUGCAAGUCGAACGAGACCUUCGGGUCUAGUGGCGCACGGGUGCGUAACGCGUGGGAACCUGCCCUUAGGUUCGGAAUAACUCCCCGAAAGGGGUGCUAAUACCGGAUAAUGUCUUCGGACCAAAGAUUUAUCGCCUUUGGAUGGGCCCGCGUUGGAUUAGCUAGUUGGUAGGGUAAAAGCCUACCAAGGCGACGAUCCAUAGCUGGUCUGAGAGGAUGAUCAGCCACACUGGGACUGAGACACGGCCCAGACUCCUACUGGAGGCAGCAGUGGGGAAUAUUGGACAAUGGGCGAAAGCCUGAUCCAGCAAUGCCGCGUGAGUGAUGAAGGCCUUAGGGUUGUAAAGCUCUUUUACCCGGGAUGAUAAUGACAGUACCGGGAGAAUAAGCUCCGGCUAACUCCGUG